CGAAAGCUUUAAUGCUAAGCGCCAGGGAAGUUAAGGGAGAUGGGGGCAAAAGAAACUGAGACCAGAGACAAUCAAGAAAUCCUGAACCAGGCAAUGCCUGUUAACAACUGGGAUGCACAAAAACUGCACUCAGGUAAACAGUUUUUCAAAAAAGGUGCCAACUCAUGUUUUGGGGAAAAAAAAAAAAAGAAGACGAAGCCAGAAACCAAUCCCGAGUGAUCAAUCCCCUCAAAUUUGCAUUGUUUACAGCUCAGUGUCACAGAAUCGUACCAUAAAAUUAGACACCAUUGUUCGGGCAAAUGGAAUGUAACUGAGACUGUACCAAAUAAGGGCACAAAUCUCACAGAUAAUUGAAAUCACUGUCAAAAUCUUGCUAUGGAUCAAGAGAGCACAAAUAAGAGAUAUAACUACAAAUCCAAUGUAAAUAGCUGUUGCAUAAACACGGACUGAGUCAAACAUCAUACUUAGUUGCCGCCCAAGUCCAAUGAGGAAGACUGUGCUUCCAACUGCCAAC
rnacentral:misc_RNA from 1 species